GGAGCUUGGGGCCGAAGCUUUCAAGGGAGGUAACUCUACUUUGUUUAUGUAUAAAGAGGUUGAAGUUUCGUUUAUGACUAGGCAAUUUAAGAUUAUCAUCGUCAAAGACAUUUUGCAACAUUACUAGUGAAACAAAGAUAUGGCGGAAGUGGUCACCAGCAGUGUGAUGGGAGUGUACUCCUCUCUCACCCAGGUAGUGACGUGGAGCUCGGUUCUGGUGUAUGGAACCAUAUUGGGACUGUCGUAUGGGUUCUACAAGGUCAUCCUGACACCAUACCUGACGCCACUCCGAAACAUACCAGCACGACCAGUCACCAGCAUUUUCCUAGGGAAUAUGCGGGAGAUAUUUGGCGGUGAAAGCAUUGAUCCCUAUAUCAAGUGGGUGAAGGAGAUGAAGACGAGUGUGAUCCGGUACCACCAUAUUCUUGGGGCCCAGAGACUGAUGGUGGCGGACGCUGAUGCCAUGAAGCACAUCAUGGUCACACACAGCAAGAACUAUGUGAAGCCAACGUUCCUUUUCAAGCUGUUCACAAGAGUCACAGGCGAUGGCUUGAUCAGCUUGAAUGGACAACAGCAUCUAACUCAGAGAAAACUCUGUCUCGGAGCAUUCAAGAGUUCAUUUCUAAAAAACAUGAUUCCAGCCAUACAGAAACAUGGAGAGGAACUUGUGGACUUCUGGGUUCAGAGUCUGAAGGAAAAUGAAGACGCAGAUCUGGACAUAGGGGAUGACAUGAGUAGAAUGACAAUGGAUAUCAUCUCAGACUGUGGGUUUGGGUACAACACUGAAGCCCUGUACAAACCAGAGCAGAAAGGAUCCCGUGCCUUCACAGACCUGAUGUACGGCUUCAAACCAAGCAUCCUAAGGGUUUUAUGGCCAUGGCUGCAGUCCCACCUACCAACGGAAGAGAACAGCAACUUUACCAAGAACCUGACUGUGACGAACCAGAUGAUCCAGGAUGUCAUCAGCAACAAGCAGGAGGUCUUGAAGGAGUGCACAGAUGAGAGUAAACUUUCGGACCUACUUAGCAUGCUGCUGCUGGCACGGGACACCGAGUCUGGGGAAGGGUUGUCACGGCAACAGCUGAGAGAUCAUGUGAUGACCUUCAUGUUAGCUGGUCAUGAGACGACAGCAACUUCAAUGACGUGGUGCCUCCUGAAACUGUCUGAAUUCCCUGAGAUUCAGAAACGCCUUCGUGAUGAGGUCACUGCAACCUUGCCUCCAAGAGGUCAACCAAUCACAGUGGAGCAUCUGGAGAAGAUGCCGUAUUUGGCAUGUGUGAUCAAGGAAACAUUGCGGCUAUACCCAGCUGCUCCGAUGACAUUCCGGACCGCUGUUCAUGAUGACGUCAUCAACGGCUACUCCAUCCCCGCUGGCACCAUCAUCAACAUCCACGUGGGAGCCUUACAAAGAAACCCAGCCUACUGGACAGAUGCAGAAGAGUUCAAACCGGAACGUUUCAUGGACGACAGUAAGCUCCAUUCAUACGCCUGGCUGCCGUUUGUGGCCGGGCCCAGAAUGUGCAUUGGGUACAAGUUUGCCCUCAUGGAGAUGAAAGUUAUUUUGGCAAUUCUGUUCCGAGAGUUUGACUUUAAACUCUCAAACCCAGACCAGAUUUACAAGAAACGACAAAGAAUCACAAUGAGACCAGAGCCCGCACUUAAAUUGAAGGCAAAGGUGUUGAACUAUUGAAGUGUUCUACAAGUCCUUGAAGCCAGAGAUGUUGAAGAGUUCUACAAGGUCCUUGAAAACAUGUUGAAGAGUUCUACAAGGUCCUUGAAGCCAGAGGUGUUGAAGUGUUCUACAAGGUCCUUGAAGCCAGAGGUGUUGAAGUGUUCUACAAGGUCCUUGAAAGCAGAGGUGUUGAAGUGUUCUACAAGGUCCUUGAAGCCAGAGGUGUUGAAUUGUUCUACAAGGUCCUUGAAAACAUGUUGAAGUGUUCUACAAGGUCCUUGAAAGCAGAGGUGUUGAAGUGUUCUACAAGGUCCUUGAAGCCAGAGGUGUUGAAGUGUUCUACAAGGUCCUUGGAAACAUGUUGAAGUGUUCUACAAGGUCCUUGAAGCCAGAGGUGUUGAAGUGUUCUACAAGGUCCUUGAAAACAUGUUGAAGUGUUCUACAAGGUCCUUGAAGCCAGAGGUGUUGAAGUGUUCUACAAGGUCCUUGAAAACAUGUUGAAGUGUUCUACAAGGUCCUUGAAGCCAGAGGUGUUGAAGUGUUCUACAAGGUCCUUGGAAACAUGUUGAAGUGUUCUACAAGGUCCUUGAAGCCAGAGGUGUUGAAGUGUUCUACAAGGUCCUUGAAAGCAGAGGUGUUGAACUGUUCUACAAAGUCCUUGAACUUAUUGAACAGUGGAUGUGUUCUACACCUUGUAGGGAGGGGUAUUUAACUGUUGAAGUGUUGAAAAGAAUUAUUUUAGACAACAUAACAUAUAGUUAUAUUAGCCGUCAGUCAUAUACAAUACUGAGUGCCUUCUUGCCACAGGGAAAAAAACAUAUAAAACUGAGUGAGAUGAUUAAUACGCAGUACUACCUGGAACGUAUUGUUUUCGCCAAUUCUUGAAGUAAGCAAGUCUAAUAUCAACAACCUUGAACAAAGGGAUGUAACUUAUUUUGUUGCAAACCAUUAAUCUAAUACACAUUUGGUUUUGUUGGAAAAGCCGAUCGUCAUUAUCCUAUAAGCUCAUGGGUAACUCUUUCUAAAAUAGUUUUAUUUUUGUAUUUUGAUUUUUUUAUUCUGUUUUAUUCAUUUGAGUUAGCAAAAUGGGUUAUGAAUUAGCUUCUGAGAAAGUUUAGCUAUGUGUAUGUAUUUAUUCAACAAACCCUUAUUGUUUCCAGGUGACCUAAUGUUGUGUAACAACACCUCACAUUAUAACAACACAAAUGCUGUAGGUAAUCAUAUUAAUAGCAGAGAACCAGAGGUAGAUAGUGUAAGCAGUGAUACACACUGUCAGGGUUUUAGCCGACCCCCAACUGUAACCACCCAAUCCACAUUUUAGUCGCAGUGAUUUAUCUAGGUCUGCUCAGAGGAUGAUAUUCGGCCCAAGGCAGCAGCAAAUUCCAGUAAAUAUUCCCAAAUUGGAAUUACAAAUUUCCAAACUCAUGUUAUUUGGUGAGAACUUUAAGACUUUGUGCAGGUGACAUGUAUUUCUCUGACCAAUUUGAGAAAAAUAAGUAUUAUGUCCCAAAUUGCCUGCCUAGGGCUGUGAAUCUAGAAUCCUGGAUACAUCCCUGGCUUCUGACAAGCAUGAGGUACUGAGGACCCUCUAUGUGCUGGUGUCACGUGUUGUGGGACAGCCUCAUGGUCACAUACAUAGCCCGGCAGUCACUUGCUCACUGCAUGAUUGGCAGGGAAAUAUCUACAUAGAUCCAGUGAUGAGCAUCUCGUCAUCAGGGAAAUAUCUUCUUAGAUCUGGUGCUGAGCAUCUCGUCAUCAGAGAAAUAUCUACUUGGAUCCAGUGAUGAGCAUCUCGUCAUCAGGGAAAUAUCUACUUAGAUCCAGUGAUGAGCAUCUCGUCAUCAGAGAAAUAUCUACUUAGAUCCAGUGAUGAGCAU
rnacentral:misc_RNA from 1 species